GACGACGGGUAACGGGGAAUUAGAGUUCGAUUCCGGAGAAAGAGCAUGAGACACGGCUCUUACAUCCAAGGAAGGCAGCAGGCGCGCAAAUUACCCAAUACACACGUGUGUGAGGUAGCGACAGUACAUAACAAUGGGGCGCACGAGCAAUGUGACCUAAUUGGAAUGAGCCUAAUCUAAAGCUCUGAGUGAGCAACGAUUGGAGGGCAAGUCUGGUUCACCAGGGCAGGACAUGAUUAGGAUUGACAGACAUGACUGAUCUUUCAUGAUCUCAUGGGUGGUGGUGCAUGGCCGUUCUUAGUUCAUGGGGUGACUUGUCUGGUUGAUUCCGAUAACGAGCGAGACCGAGACCCAAGGUUGGCGCCGUUUCCCUCAUGUUCUUUGGGGCUUCGAGGGCGGCGCUCUUCUUGCGCCUUGGGGACCGGCACCCGGUUAAGGGCGUGGAGGUGCUUGGCAACAACAGGUCUGUGAUGCCCUUAGAUGUCCUGGGCCGCACGCGCGCUACACUGAUGCAGACAAUGGGCAUUCACCUAUUCCGAGAGGGCUGGGUAAUCCUGUGAGGCUGCAUCGUGCUGGGGAUCGAGCACUGGAACUGUGCUCGUGAACAUGGAAUGCCUUGUAAUCGUGAGUCAUCAACUCACGAUGAAUACGUCCCUGCCCUUUGUACACACCGCCCGUCGUUAUUUCCGAUCGAAUGGCUCGGUGAGGCGGUAGGAGCUUCGCGCGCGCCGGCUUGCUGGUCGCGAUGCGAGGCAAACACCUUCGAACUCGGCCAUUUAGAGGAAGUACAAGUCGUAACAAGGUUUCCGUAGGUGAACCUGCGGAAGGAUCAUAG
rnacentral:rRNA from 1 species